rnacentral:rRNA from 1 species
CAGUAGCCGCGGGAAAACGAAGGGGGCUAGCGUUGUUCGGAAUCACUGGGCGUAAAGCGCACGUAGGCGGACUUUUAAGUCAGGGGUGAAAUCCCAAGGCUCAACCUUGGAACUGCCUUUGAUACUGGAAGUCUUGAGUUCGGGAGAGGUGAGUGGAACUGCGAGUGUAGAGGUGAAAUUCGUAGAUAUUCGCAAGAACACCAGUGGCGAAGGCGGCUCACUGGCCCGAUACUGACGCUGAGGUGCGAAAGCGUGGGGAGCAAACAGGAUUAGAUACCCCUGUAGUCCCUGUCUCUUAUAC